AUGAGGGGAAGGAGGGAACCUUUCAAGAGAGGCUGGGCCAAAUACAGACUGUGCGAGGGGAGCGCCUCCACUCUCUCAGUUCGGGGUGAAGUGUGGAGCUCAGAAGACCUCACGGAUUUGCACGGGAACGGGCCCAGUGUAAAUGCGCCUCAAGUCUGGAUCACAAAGGUCCUCCCCCGGGUCCACGGGCACUUCUCGGUUGCGACAACUUCUCGUCUAAGUGGAAGCAGCCUCGGAUCCCGACAUACAGCUGUGGGCCUGACUCCCGGCUUUGUCCUCCCGGGGGAGGGGGUGCCUCCGCUCCAGGGCGAGCGCUCCGUCCCCGGAAAGACUAGGCCACGGAACAAAGAGCGCGGAGUGGGGGGGAUGCUCCGAGGGGGGGGGCCGGACACCCACGGGGGGGGGGGGCGACUCCCGAAGGCCAGCGCUGCCCCCGGGACGCCGGCGGCGGGGGAGGACGAGGGGAGCCCCCGACCCUGCUGCCCUCCGCGCUGCCAGGGCAGGCCCCGAGGCCUCCCCGGGGCGAGCCGCACGGCUCCUCCCCGGGUUCCCCCGGAGACCCCAAACACACCCAGCACCUGCCUCCCGGGAAGAAGCUCUGUGCCCGAUCGGUGCCGCCGGCCGCCCGGCCUUGAGCGCAGCCUGUCAAGCCCGGGAGGGCCCUCAGCGCCACCCGGUCCAAGCCCCUCACUUCAUCCACCCCGGCCGAGGCGGGGCGGGCCCCGCACCCUUCCCGCGGCCCGGCCGCCCCGCCCCGUCCCCGUGGCGGCCGCCCCACAGGCCGGCCUCGCGAGUACUCACGGCGACCCCGGGCCGCGUGCGGCCGCCGCCGAGGGGACGAGCGGCCCGGGACGCCCCGCGGGGGCGGAGCGGCAGGCCAAGGGGCGGGGGCCGGGCCGGGCGGACGAGGUCGCGCUCCCCCCACGCCUCGUCGUUCCGUCACGGGCGCGCAGAGCCAGUCUGCGCAUGCUCGCGCGGCGCCGCCGCGGUCACGUGGCCGGCUCCCGGCCAAUCGCCGCGCGGCCUGCCCCCGGGCGCGCCCCCGCCCCGGACGCCGGGCUUCCACGCGUGCGCGGGCCUCGCCGGCGGGGGGGCGGAGCGCGGGGCAGCGGCAGGUGGCGCAUGCGCGGAGCUUCGGGGCGGGUGCGUGGGAAACCGACGGGUCUGGGGGUGCGCGGAGAGCGCCCCGGAACAGGCGGUCGGCGCUGGGCGCCCCGUGUGGCCGGGAGGAACGAGCAGGGCCGACCGCCCCGGCUGCCUCGGCUGCAGCUGGAGACCGAGGAGGGCUUCCCGCGACCCCGCGGGGCUCCAGGACCCCCCUGGUUUGCAGCGGCGGAGUCAGACAUCCCAGCUUUUCCUGAGGUCGCCGGGAAGCGCCCUGGCUCUCCAGGAGAACGAUCUGGGUCCUGA
rnacentral:lncRNA from 1 species